rnacentral:tRNA from 1 species
AGUCUUAUAACUUAGCGGUCAGAGUAUAUGCUUGAUAAGCGUAAGGUCAGUAGUUCAAAUCUACUUAAGACUA